rnacentral:rRNA from 1 species
UACGUAGGGGCAAGCGUUGUCCGGAAUCAUUGGGCGUAAAGAGCGUGUAGGCGGUCCGGUAAGUCGGCUGUGAAAGUCCAGGGCUCAACCCUGGGAUGCCGGUCGAUACUGCCGGACUAGAGUUCGGAAGAGGCGAGUGGAAUUCCCGGUGUAGCGGUGAAAUGCGCAGAUAUUAGGAAGAACACCAGUGGCGAAGGCGGCUCACUGGUCCGGUACUGACGCUGAGGUGCGGAAAGCGUGGGACAGCAAGGA